rnacentral:rRNA from 1 species
CGAACGAUGAAGCCCUUCGGGGUGGAUUAGUGGCGAACGGGUGAGUAACACGUGGGCAAUCUGCCCUUCACUCUGGGACAAGCCCUGGAAACGGGGUCUAAUACCGGAUAACACUCCUGCCUGCAUGGGCGGGGGUUAAAAGCUCCGGCGGUGAAGGAUGAGCCCGCGGCCUAUCAGCUUGUUGGUGGGGUAAUGGCCCACCAAGGCGACGACGGGUAGCCGGCCUGAGAGGGCGACCGGCCACACUGGGACUGAGACACGGCCCAGACUCCUACGGGAGGCAGCAGUGGGGAAUAUUGCACAAUGGGCGAAAGCCUGAUGCAGCGACGCCGCGUGAGGGAUGACGGCCUUCGGGUUGUAA